AGCUUGCUCUUUCCGGAAUUGAGUGGCAAACGGGUGAGUAACACGUAAACAACCUGCCUUCAGGAGGGGGAUAACAUUUGGAAACAGAUGCUAAUACCGCAUGACACAUAGGUGUCGCAUGGCACUUAUGUCAAAGAUUUAUCGCUGAAAGAUGGGCUCGCGUCUGAUUAGAUAGUUGGUGGGGUAACGGCCUACCAAGUCUACGAUCAGUAGCCGGACUGAGAGGUUGAACGGCCACAUUGGGACUGAGAUACGGCCCAGACUCC
rnacentral:rRNA from 1 species